GACAGAGGGUGCAAACGUUGUUCGGAAUCACUGGGCGUAAAGCGCGUGUAGGCGGCUUGGCAAGUCGGGUGUGAAAUCCCAGGGCUCAACCCUGGAAGUGCAUUCGAAACUGCCUAGCUAGAGUUCUGGAGAGGAAGGUGGAAUGCUUGGUGUAGAGGUGAAAUUCGUAGAUAUCAAGCGGAACACCGGUGGCGAAGGCGGCCUUCUGGACAGAAACUGACGCUGAGACGCGAAAGCGUGGGGAGCAAACAGG
rnacentral:misc_RNA from 1 species